rnacentral:rRNA from 1 species
GAUGAACGCUGGCGGCGUGCCUAAUACAUGCAAGUCGAGCGAACGGACGAGAAGCUUGCUUCUCUGAUGUUAGCGGCGGACGGGUGAGUAACACGUGGAUAACCUACCUAUAAGACUGGGAUAACUUCGGGAAACCGGAGCUAAUACCGGAUAAUAUUUUGAACCGCAUGGUUCAAAAGUGAAAGACGGUCUUGCUGUCACUUAUAGAUGGAUCCGCGCUGCAUUAGCUAGUUGGUAAGGUAACGGCUUACCAAGGCGACGAUGCAUAGCCGACCUGAGAGGGUGAUCGGCCACACUGGAACUGAGACACGGUCCAGACUCCUACGGGAGGCAGCAGUAGGGAAUCUUCCGCAAUGGGCGGAAGCCUGACGGAGCAACGCCGCGUGAGUGAUGAAGGUCUUCGGAUCGUAAAACUCUGUUAUUAGGGAAGAACAUAUGUGUAAGUAACUGUGCACAUCUUGACGGUACCUAAUCAGAAAGCCACGGCUAACUACGUG